rnacentral:rRNA from 1 species
UACAGAGGUCUCAAGCGUUGUUCGGAUUCAUUGGGCGUAAAGGGUGCGUAGGCGGCGCGGUAAGUCGGGUGUGAAAUCUCGGAGCUUAACUCCGAAACUGCAUUUGAUACUGCGGUGCUUGAGGACUGGAGAGGAGACUGGAAUUCACGGGUGUAGCAGUGAAAUGCGUAGAUAUCGUGAGGAAGACCAGUGGCGAAGGCGGGUCUCUGGACAGUUCC